UUGCUUUUCCGAUGACUCUGCUAGAAUUAACAAUAGUCUAGCUCACAACUCCGAGGAGCCCAACUGUUUUCUUGGACAUUGAUUGACUGGUGUCUAUUCAUUAUCCUACCUGUAAAAGAGCUAACCAUCUCAGUUUUCUAGUUUUACAUUUCUGAAGAACAACUAUUAUUUUGACAGCGAGAUUACUAUCGAUUACAAAGUCUAUAAAUACACCAACCUGCUUGCAAAGCAGGUGAGGGCUUGGGAUUCGAGUCUUGUCCUUGCCGUCUGAUGAAUAUAAAGAAGCGGUUAGAAGAUGAGAGGAACGAUGUCAACAACUAUUGGUUGGUUUUGCUACCAAGUUACUAGGAGGGUUUUGGUUCACGGGACAUGCUGAAAGGCUUUUAAUGAUCAUACAUGAAAUAAUUAAGGACUAUUGACAAGAAUAUUUUGAGUUUCAGAGAUUAUUUAGAAUUUUAUAAUAAAUAGGGAUUUGUUACAAGAAUUUUUAUAAGAGUAAUUCAAGGUGAAUCUACAUGUUAUUAUUCAUGUGUGAAGAUUUUAGCUUCAUCACAAUCCAUUCAGAAAAGUAAGUGAUUUAUGAGGUCUUUUUAGAUGUUAAUGGGGAUAAUGGCAGGUGCCAACCAUGGUUC